GCUAGAUUGGAGGGUAGAAAAGAACCAUGGAUUGUUGUUCUGUACGCACCAUGGUGCCGCUUCUGUCAGGCAAUGGAAGGUUCCUAUGUUGAAUUAGCUGAGAAGCUAGCUGGGACUGGAGUGAAGGUUGGGAAGUUUAGGGCCGACGGCGAGGAAAAAGAGUUCGCACAACAGGAAUUGCAGUUAGGUAGCUUCCCCACCAUACUCUUCUUCCCUAAACAUUCCUCUCGGCCAAUCAAGUACCCAUCUGAGAAGAGAGACGUUGACUCGCUUAUGGCUUUUGUAAAUGCUUUUCGAUGAUCGGACCAGAAUGUAUCUGCAGUACACCUAAUAUACAAAAAUGUGGCCAGGUCCAGGUUGAGUCAAUUAUACAGUUGACACAAGAAGCAGUCUAAAUUUUCG
rnacentral:misc_RNA from 1 species